UGCAGCCGCGUCGAUCGGCUGUUGAACGACCUCCACCAAGUCGCCACCACCUCUCACGACCCUGCGAUGCAAUACAAACACGUGGGGUGCUGAGUCGCGCUGUGCCCACGAGGGACAGCUGCUGCCGGAUGAGAUGCGACGUGAGGUGCUCUGAGAUGACGCGGCGUUUGAGGAGGGCGCUCUAUCAAAAAACGGUCAUUUUGUUGCGAUAAAAGCGCUCCUACGCCGUGACCUUGCCACGCAUCCGGGAAUGCAAGCGGCUCCAUCCAAUUGACGGCAGAGGCCGUCGUUCCCGAGCAAAGCUACACAGUGGGCGCUCCGAACAUCGGCCAAGCCAACAACAGUCUGCACUCCCAGACUCGACCACGCUUCGCUUGCGAGCUUUGAUGAGAUCAACGAUGGCUUCAAAGUUUGGUCGUACAUGUUAGGUAUAUCGUUUAUUGUUACAUUUGAAUCACA